rnacentral:rRNA from 1 species
ACGAACGCUGGCGGCGUGCCUAAUACAUGCAAGUAGAACGCUGAAGGAGGAGCUUGCUUCUCCGGAUGAGUUGCGAACGGGUGAGUAACGCGUAGGUAACCUGCCUGGUAGCGGGGGAUAACUAUUGGAAACGAUAGCUAAUACCGCAUAACAGUAGAUGUUGCAUGACAUUUGCUUAAAAGGUGCAAUUGCAUCACUACCAGAUGGACCUGCGUUGUAUUAGCUAGUUGGUGAGGUAACGGCUCACCAAGGCGACGAUACAUAGCCGACCUGAGAGGGUGAUCGGCCACACUGGGACUGAGACACGGCCCAGACUCCUACGGGAGGCAGCAGUAGGGAAUCUUCGGCAAUGGACGGAAGUCUGACCGAGCAACGCCGCGUGAGUGAAGAAGGGUUUCGGAUCGUAAAGCUCUGUUGUAAGAGAAGAACGAGUGUGAGAGUGGAAAGUUCACACUGUGACGGUAUCUUACCAGAAAGGGACGGCUAACUACGUG